rnacentral:lncRNA from 1 species
UCGAUGUAUUAAUGUGGGAUUAGUAAAUUGGUUUUUAAUUAUGCUUCACGGGUAUGGAAUAAAGGUCGAGUUUUAUUUUUACUUGGAUGGGUAAUCAUAUUUGCUCAACGUGAUUAUGUUAAUUAAACGCAAUUUGGUUAAUUCUAUAAAAGUUGUGGAAAAUUAAUUAAAUUAUUAGGUUAGAGAGAUAACUGAAGAAUUGCGUGUUGGUAUUAGUAGUACUGGAGAAAAAUAGAUUUCAACCCCAAAA